GAUCAUAUCAGUUUGAAGCACCGGUUCCCGUACGGUCACCAAAGUUAAGCAACUUUGAGCCUGGUCAGUACCUAGAUGGGUUACGACUUGGGAAUUCCAGGUGCUGUAAG